UACGGGGGGGGCAAGCGUUUUUCGGAAUUACUGGGCGUAAAGGGCUCGUAGGCGGCCAACUAAGUCGGAUGUGAAAUCCCCAGGCUUAACCUGGGAACUGCAUCCGAUACUGGAUGGCUUGAAUCCGGGAGAGGGAUGCAGAAUUCCAGGUGUAGCGGUGAAAUGCGUAGAUAUCUGGAGGAAUACCGGUGGCGAAGGCGGCAUCCUGGACCGGCAUUGACGCUGAGUGAGCGAAAGCCAGGGGAGCAAACGGG
rnacentral:rRNA from 1 species